GUGGUACUCAAACUAUGGGCACUUUUUGCUCUGGAAUAAAGUGCUGCCAGGUUUUGAGCACUGC
rfam:Cricetulus griseus cell line CHO-K1, whole genome shotgun sequence.